UAGGGCGAAAGCCUGAAGCAGCAACGCCGCGUGUGUGAUGAAGGCCUUCGGGUCGUAAAGCACUUUUCUGGGAGAUGAGAAAGGACAGUAUCCCAGGAAUAAGUCUCGGCUAACUACGUGCCAGCAGCCGCGGUAAAACGUAGGAGGCGAGCGUUAUCCGGAUUCACUGGGCGUAAAGCGCGUGCAGGUGGCGCGGUAAGUUGGGCGUGAAAUCUCCCGGCUCAACUGGGAGAGGUCGUCCAAUACUACCGUGCUUGAGAGCAGAAGAGGAAGAUGGAAUUCCCGGUGUAGUGGUGAAAUGCGUAGAUAUCGGGAGGAACACCAGUGGCGAAGGCGAUCUUCUGGUCUGUUUCUGACACUCAGACGCGACAGCUAGGGUAGUAAACGGGAUUAGAGACCCCGGUAAUCCUAGCCGUAAACGAUGUGAACUUGGCGUUGGUGGGUUAAACUCCAUCAGUGCCGCAGCAAACGCGAUAAGUUCACCGCCUGGGGACUACGGCCGCAAGGUUA
rnacentral:rRNA from 1 species